rfam:Plautia stali symbiont DNA, complete genome.
CACCGACAUCAGCGACUCAUUGUGCGAACCGGCACCGACCGCCAGAUAGGCGUUCAUGCCCAGCUCUUUCAUCUGCUGUUCGCCAAUCACGCGGGUGGUGACGUUUUUGCUGUAUGCAUCAGCCAGCUGACGUGCCUGCGACGCCAGAUACGCGGCGUUACAAAUAUUCGGCGGCAUAUUGCUCAGGUCUUUCGC